UCACAGUUCGCAGCACUAGAACCCAC
rnacentral:piRNA from 1 species